rnacentral:rRNA from 1 species
CGCAACCCCUCGCAUUCAGUUGCCAUCGGGUAAUGCCGGGCGACUCUGGAAGGACUGCCAUCGACAAGAUGGAGGAAGGUGGGGAUGACGUCAAGUCAUCAUGGCCCUUAUGUCCAGGGCGACACACGUGCUACAAUGGCCGGCACAACGGGAAGCGAGUUCGCGAGGACAAGCGGAUCCCUUAAAGCCGGUCGCAGUUCGGAUUGAAGUCUGCAACUCGACUUCAUGAAGCUGGAAUCGCUAGUAAUCGUGGAUCAGCCAAGCCGCGGUGAAUACGUUCCCGGGCCUU